CGCUGCUGACAGGAGUAAGGCAUGUCUCAGAAACUCUGCCCCGAGGAAGAGGGGUUACCCUGAGCACUUCCAGCUCUUCCGGGACAGUGGAUGUGCUCCUGGUUCCCCAGCCCGCCGGGGCAGUCAGGCCCUUGGCCGUAAAGCUGUGGACUCCUACCCACUUCUGGGACUCUCCAGAACGAGCUCACAGAGCUGGUAGCUUUCUUAAAUCCUGACUGAGAGACAAGGUACCUCUGAUCUGCAGAUCAAGCCCUGACUGUUUCUCUGGUUCAUCUCCUGGCACCGCCCUCUCCUCCAGCCCUCGCUGCUCCUGAAUCCGUACUCCGUGGGUAAUAACUUGCAGUUUCUGGAAAAUACCACCUACUUCAGGUCUGUCGCUCGUUUGACUUGGAGGGCUUCAGGCACCUUUUCCUCCAGGAAGCCUCUCCUGCC
rnacentral:lncRNA from 1 species